rnacentral:lncRNA from 1 species
UAGAUAUGGUAAGUUUUAUGAGAGAAAACGUAAGAAGUGGAGAGAGAGAGAGAGAGAGAAUAGGACAAAGUUUGUUAGCACUGCACAUGGGUGGUACAGUUGGCAACAGAUGGUGGUAAUAGAAUUGAGGAGUAAGCCAAUAAAUGAGGGAGCACUCACUCUGUGGUGGUAGGCAGAAAUUGAGUGGAGAAUAUCCUCCUAGGAGAGUACUGGCCUCUCUAAGUGCCUCUAUUUGCUUUCUAUUUUCUCUGCAGCUUUCUGCAACUUUUCUGUAUUUGCUUUGUAUAACUAGAUCCCAUAUGAACGCUAGUUUUCAUCAAUAAAAAUCAGAACUUUCCUACUCUAUUUUCUGUACUUACUAUUUCCUGUACUUAAGAUACUAAAUUGAACCUAUCAAUUUGGUAUCUAGAGCCUUGGUUUCGUUUCACUAUGGAUGGUCAUUACGAGAAGCAUCAUGGAAAACCGAGUAGAUACCGUGGAGCAGAGAAUGAACAAUUUUGAAGAGAUGAUGGAGCAGAUUAGACAGCUGGUGAUGGAGCAGCAGGCAAGACCGCAAGUCACGGUGGAGCAAAUACGCCAGCUGAUUCAAGAGCAACCGGGUUGGAAUCACGGAGGAUCCGACGAAGAAGAUGAGAGAAGCGGAAGGAGCACGAUAUCGCGUGAAUCCAGACCCAGGAACCGCCGUCAUAAUGGUGGAAACAUAUCUCGUUCCAUGGGAAGCAGACGAAGGUUGGAAAUUCCGAUUUUCAAAGGAGAGGAUGCGUAUGGGUGGCUCGUUCGGGUUGAGAGGUAUUUUCACCUCAAUGGGGUGAGGAUGCAUGACAAGCUAGAUGCAGUUGUGCUUGCCAUGGAAGACAAAGCUUUGAACUGGUAUCAAUGAUGGGAGGAGCAGGCACCGUUGAAGACUUGGGAAGAGUUCAAAGUGGCUGUGAUGAGAAGGUUCCAACCUGGGUUAGUGCACAAUCCUUUGGGACCCUUGUUAAGCCUGAAACAGAGAGGGUUAGUUGUAGAGUAUAUCAAGAAAUUUGAAAUGUUAGUAGCUCCUUUGAGAAGGGAGGAAAGGAUCAUGUUGGAUUCUAUUUUUUUGAAUGGAUUGAAAGAAGAGAUUCAAGCUGAGCUUAAACUCCAUGAGAGUCAAACCCUAGCAGAACUGAUGGACAGGGCUUUACUCAUUGAGGAGAAAAAUGAUGUGCUGCAUAAGAAGGGUGGCUCUUGGAGAGAUAGAGGAGGACCCUUAAAACUCAAAGGUCCUGCAGACUUUGGAGGAUUUAAGAAGGAAGGGGGAAAUGAGAAAUACAAGGGUAGGAGAUUGAAUCCUGCAGAGCUGGAAGAGAGGAGCAAAAAAGGGUUGUGUUUUAAGUGUGGAGACAAGUGGAAUAGGGAGCAUAUCUGUAAGUUCAAGCAUAUGAGCUUGAAAUUGUGUGAGAAUAGUAGUGAUGAAGAAGAAGAAACAGAGGGAAUAGGGGUUCAAACAGAAGAACUGGUGGAAGCAGAAGAAGAAUUCAAAACUCUACAAUUGUCGAUGCAAAGUAAACAAGGAUUUACUUCUAACAAAUCUUUUAAAGUGUGGGGUGACUGUGCUGGAGAAGAAGUUGGUAACCCUAAUUGAUUCAGGAGCAAUAAGUAACUUUAUUGAUGCCAAACUAGUAGAACAAAUGGGAUUGAAGUUGGUAGAAACUCCCCCUUAUGUAAUUGAGGUGGGAAAUGGUGAAAGAGUCAAAUAUCAGGGAAUCUGUGAAGGGUUGAGAUUUAUGAUGCAGGGGGUGGAAUUUAACCAACAUUUCUUUUUGAUGGAGUUAGGAGGGACUGAUAUGGUGUUGGGGAUGGAUUGGUUGGCCAGUUUAGGUAGAAUUGAAGCAAACUUUGCGGAGUUAAGCCUGAAAUGGGCGUCUGAAGGACAGAAGCAUAAUAUACAGGGUGAUCCGAUUUUGUGCACCAAACAAGCUUCCAUGAAAGCUAUGAUAAAAGCUUUGCAUAAUAAAGGCAUGGGAUUUUUCCUACAGACUCUGCAGGCAGAGGAGCAGUCCCCGGAACUGACAGAAUGGGAAGAAGUGUUGAAAUCUUUUGAGAAGGUUUUCAACCUCCCUGCUGGGUUACCUCCUAUAAGGAAGGAUGAUCAUGCGAUUAGGCUCAAGGAUGAAGCUGAUAUACCUAAUCUCAGACCUUACAGGUAUCCUUUUUUCCAAAAGAAUGAGAUAGAGAAGAUAGUGAAGGAAAUGUUGCAAACUGGAAUUAUUAGGCAUAGUACAAGUCCUUUUUCAAGCCCAGUUUUAGUGGUAAAGAAAAAAGAUGGAGGAUGGAGGUUUUAUACUGAUUACAGGGCCUUAAACAAGGUGACUAUUCCUAAUAAGUUUCCAAUUCCUGUAAUUGAGGAAUUGCUAGAUGAGUUAGGUGGAGCUGUUAUCUUUUCUAAGCUGGAUUUGAAAUCUGGUUACUUUCCAAUUCCUGUAAUUGAGGAAUUGCUAGAUGAGUUAGGUGGAGCUGUUAUCUUUUCUAAGCUGGAUUUGAAAUCUGGUUACCACCAGAUUAGAAUGAAAGAGGAAGAUAUAGAAAAGACAGCUUUCAGAACUCAUGAAGGCCACUAUGAAUAUCUAGUGAUGCCUUUUGGACUGUCAAAUGCCCCCUCUACAUUCCAAGCCCUGAUGAAUGAGGUUUUAAGACCUUUCCUUAGGAAAUUUUGUUUAGUGUUUUUUGAUGACAUUCUAAUCUACAGCAGAAGCAGAGGAGAACAUAAGGACCACCUAACCAUGAUCUUAAAGGUAUUGCAAGAUCAGCAGCUAUAUGCCAACAAGAAAAAGUGUUCUUUUGGCCAGAAGGAGAUUGAAUAUUUAGGGCACAUUAUUUCUGGACAAGGAGUGUCUGCAGAUCCAAAAAAGAUAAAAGAUAUGCUUAAAUGGCCUACACCUAAAAAUUUGAAAGGGUUGAGGGGAUUUUUAGGACCCACCGGCUAUUACAGGAAGCUUGUGAGGAACUAUGGAAAAAUUGCUUGGCCUUUAACACAACUACUCAAGAAGGAUGGUUUUAAAUGGAGUAGUGAGGCUCAAGAAACUUUUGAGAAGUUGAAAAUGGCUAUGACUACUGUCCCUGUUUUGGCCAUGCCUGAUUUUGAUAAAGAAUUUGUUGUAGAAACCGAUGCCUCAGGCCAAGGGAUUGGAGUUGUCCUAAUGCAAGGAGGAAAACCUAUUUGUUACAUGAACCAAACACUAUCUGAUAGGGCUCAACAGAAAUAUGUAUAUGAGAGAGAGCUGAUGGCUAUAGUCAUUGCAAUUCAAAAGUGGAGGCCUUAUUUACUUGGAAGGCAUUUCAAAAUUCACUCAGAUCAAAAAAGCCUUAAGUUUAUCACUGAGCAGAGAAUCAUGGGAGGAGAACAGCAGAAGUGGUUAUCCAAACUUCUAGGGUUUGACUUUGAAGUGAAGUACAAACCAGGAAAAGAAAACAGUGCUGCUGAUUCACUGUCUAGACAGAUGCAGUAUGCCCACAUCACCACCAUUUAGUGUGAAGCCUGGGAAGGGUUAGAAGAGGAGAUUAGGAAGGAUGAUAAAUUGAGAAGUAUUGUGCAAUCCUUAAUUUCAGACCCUGCCGGCCAGAAGGGGUUUCAGUUAAAAGGAGGGAGAUUGUAUCAUGAAGGAAGGGUGGUAAUUCCCAGAAAUCCACCUAGGAUUUCUUAGAUUCUAAAUGAAUUCCAUGAUACUGCAGUUGGGGGACAAUCAGGGUAUUUAAGGACAUACAAAAGGAUUGCUAGUGUUGUUUAUUGGGAGGGCGUGAGGAAGAGAAUCCAGGAGUAUGUCCAGGCAUGUAAAGUGUGUCAAAGAAAUAAGUAUCAAACUUUGACACCAGGAGGCUUAUUGCAGCCAUUACCCAUUCCCACACAAGUCUGGAGUGACAUUUCUAUGGACUUUAUUGGUGGAUUGCCUAAAGUGCAAGGAGUAGAUACUGUCAUGGUGGUAGUGGAUAGAUUAACCAAGUAUGCCCAUUUCUUCCCUAUCAGCCAUCCUUCCACAGCUAAGAGUAUUGCUGAAGUCUUUCUUCAGGAAGUGAUCAGAUUGCAUGGAUUUCCUAGUUCCAUAGUUUCUGACAAAGACAAAGUGUUUCUCAGCCACUUCUGGGCAGAAUUGUUUAAAUUGGCAGGGACUAAAUUGAAGUACAGUAGUGCUUACCAUCCUCAAUCUGAUGGCCAAACAGAGGUAGUAAAUAGAUGCUUAGAGACUUAUUUGAGGUGUGUGACUGGGCUCAAACCUAGGCAAUGGCCUAAGUGGCUGGCAUGGGCAGAAUAUUGGUACAACACCAAUUACCAUGCAUCCUUUUGAAAACUACUUUUGAGGCAUUAUAUGGAAGAGCUCCUCCAGUGCUAAUUAGAGGAGAUAUCCCUGGAUCUGCUAUAGAUGAGGUCAACAAACUGACCAUGGAAAGAAACCUGAUGAUCAAGGAGUUGCAAGAGCAGUUGUUGAGGGCUCAAGAUUUGAUGAGGAGCCAGGCAAAUAAGCAUAAAAGGGAAGUGGAAUAUGAGGUGGGAGAUAAGGUAUUCUUAAAAAUUCAGCCUUAUAAGAUGAAAAAACUGGCAAAAAGGAUAAAUCAGAAACUGAGUCCAAGGUAUUAUGGGCCAUAUGAGGUGAUACAAAGAAUUGGAGUUGUGGCUUAUACGCUCAAAUUGCCUGAGGGCUCUAAGGUGCAUCCUGUCUUCCAUGCAUCUCUGCUUAAAAAAGCUGUAAUCCCGGUGGUGGAACCCCAACCUCUGCCAAGUGGCAUGAAUAAGGAGUGGCAGUUGGAACCAAUGCCUGAUAAAGUGAUAAGUGAUAGACUGAAUGAACAAGGGGAACUGGAAGUGUUGGUGAAAUGGAAAAAUCUCCCUGAAUUUGAGAAUUCAUGAGAGUUGGCAGAAAAGAUGCGAACUGAGUUUCCAGCCUUCAUCCUUGACGUCAAGGAUAGUUUUGAAGGGGGGAGAGUUGGUAGAUAUGGUAAGUUUUAUGAGAGAAAACGUAAGAAGUAGAGAGAGAGAGAGAGAGAGAGAGAGAGAGAAUAGGACAAAGUUUGUUAGCACUGCACAUGGGUGGUACAGUUGGCAACAGCUGGAUGGUAAUAGAAUUGAGGAGUAAGCCAAUAAAUGAGGGAGCACUCACUCUGUGGUGGUAGGCAGAAAUUGAGUGGAGAAUAUCCUCCUAGGAGAGUACAAGCCUCUCUAAGUGCCUCUAUUUGCUUUCUAUUUUCUCUGCAGCUUUCUGCAACUUUUCUGUAUUUGCUUUGUAUAACUAGAUCCCAUAUGAACUCUAGUUUUCAUCAAUAAAAAUCAGAACUUUCCUACUCUAUUUUCUAUACUUACUAUUUCCUGUACUUAAGAUACUAAAUUGAACCUAUCAG